UCAGGAUUCUUUUCUGAAUUGUGCAGGCGUCUUGCAGCUUUCUCAAUAGCCAAACUAUGUGCUCUUUUCAUCCUCUCUGGUGCACUCGUAGGUUCUUUACAGUCUCGCUGCCGCAUCUCAUCCAAAACAUCCUUGAGAAGCAAAGUCUGCUCAGUGAUUUGGGACGAGAGGGCAGCAAGCUGGCGAGAUGUACUAUUCUGAGCAGCGAUCAGCUGUUUCAGGAAGUCGCAGUUGCUGAAUGGACCUGCUGCCCCGUCACCUUGCUCAUUAUUCGCCGGUGCAGAAAUACCCAAUUUCCUUCUGCACGAGCAAUCUGAUUUAGAAGAAAUGUUAAUUAAACUCCUUAUUUAAAAAUCACACUACAAUCCAUCACCUGCUGCUCUUCCACAGUACUAAAGCAAUCAUUAAAUAAAGAACGUAGCCAGGUCAAUACCAUCCUCCCAGUUCACACUCAUCUCUUUAAAUAUUAAAUAUGACUGAGCUUGGUCACAUUUCUAGUUUCCACUUGCAUUAUUUUUACAGAUGAGAGUUCUAUUAUUUGGCACAGCUGUAAUCCAAACUACAUUGUGGAUUAAAAAAAUAAAAUUGUGAUGAUAAUCAUCCAAUACACCGAGGGGAAAUAAGAAUUUGGACACUUUUGUUUUUGUUAUUUAAUAUAUUCCAGUGCAUAUAUUCUCACACAGCGGACCUCCUUUAUCAAGCAGGACACGAACGGAUUUAUGCGCAAAUCAUUCACAUGAAAUUUGGUUUUCAUGAAAAUCCAAUGGAUGCUAUAAAAAAAAAAAGCUUUCGUAUCACACUCGUGCUCUCAAGUGCGUGUACAUUUACACAUAAGAAGACUAACUAAUGUAAACCUUGACUUGAUCGACUUCAAUCAUAAUUUGCAUGGAUUACUGGACUUUUAUAUCUGGAAUAUACUGUCGAGUUUAAAUUGCUUUAUUUUAUUUUUUUUAUGUUUACCACGUUUAGUAAACGUCCUUAUCCAGAGUAACUUAUCGAAGUGUUUUGGAGUCUCUAUAAGGGAUGGACGAUGUGUACUUAAAACUAGACCACGAUAUUUUCUGGUAUUUUAUUGCGAUAACGAUAUCAGUGACGAUAUCAAUAUAGUAUCAUGCACCACUGUUUUCGGCUACAGGUGAUAGCUGUGCUCUUGAGAGCCUCAGAAACGCAAACAGUGAUCUAAAACUAAAACAAAUUUUCUCUAACCAAACCAGUUCCAGAUUGUAGAGGUACAGUAGCUCCUCGUUGAGCCAUAAACUCCUCCUCAGCUUCACAUCCGCUUCCGCCGUAUUUGUUUUCGCUCUGCACGUGAGCUGCGAACGGGUUGCAGACCGCCGCAUGCAGAAACACGUCAUCGACUAGGCUUUAUCAUGAUCAUCACUAGAAGACUGAUUCUUAUUGUGGGGAGAAUUUCAACCGGUAUAUCGCAAACGAUCCAUCCCAUCCCUAAUCUCUAUGAAGAACACAUCCUCAUGCUAGUUCAUUAAGUCAGGGACUACGAGUACCAUUGAGAACAUUUUGUGAAAACCAGUUGUUUUAUAUUCUUUAAUUAAUGCCAAUAAUAUAAAAGAAUAAUGAAAGCAAGCUAACACAGGAGAUGAGGUCAUAGGUACCCUGAAGAGGAUAAGCAGUAUAGUAGAUGGAUGGAUGGAUGGAUGAGGUCAUAGGUAAAGUUUCCUUCUGAUGACUCUUCCAUGCAGAUCAUGUGUAUGCAAGCAAUGCUGCUGAGAAGAACAGUGCACCACCACUCCUGUGUCAGCAAAACCAAGUCCUUAGUGUCAUAUUUGGGUUUCGCUUUACCUUUCUACCCAGCAUACAGCCAGUUCUAUAUAAAGUUUUCCUUUUGCUCCUAUGCUCUGAGAACAAACCAAACUUCCAUCACCAUCCCAAGCCAAAUUACAUUAGCCGAAUCUCUGAACAAGUUAAAGGCGCACACAGUAAGACAACCGGUAACGAAAAACAGCAUGUCAGCCAGGAAUUUCCAUGAAAUUUCAUAGCGCUUCAUACUCUUAUGUCCUCAGACGUGAGGUUUGGAAUUUCC
ensembl:lncRNA